GUUGUCGCCACGCCAGAUGCUACGCUCCCACCCAUCCUGAAUGCGCUCGAGAUAUACUCGGUGCAGCAGAUGACUGAGCUUGGGACGAACAAUGCAGAUGGUAUCUAACACUUAAAUCCAGUGUGCCAUUGUCAAUUGUCUUAAUUUGGCUUGAAGUCCAGGUCCAGUUUUGAGUAAUUUGUUUGGAUAGCGUAAAGCAAGGAUUCACGGAUACCUUGUCUUUUCCCACGUGAACAGCCGAGUCCAUGAUGAAAAUUCGCAAGGCGUAUGUGCUGAAGAAAAACUGGAUGGGUGAUCCUUGUGCACCGAAGGCAUUUGCGUGGGAUGGCGUGAACUGUAGUUACUCUUCAUCUGAUCCUGCAUGGAUAACAGCUUUGUAAGUUCUAAGCAUACAAGCAUUUCAAGAAAAAAAUUACCAAGUGCACAAGAACUGCACAUCCAUGCUUGCACGGAAAGAUUCAAAAGAAAGCUUUUCCAUGUCCUGGUAUUAAUCUACUAUGGGAUUUGCUACAGAAACUUGUCAUCUAGUGUGUUGGCUGGUGCAGUUGAUUCUUCUUUUGGCGAUCUAAAAUCCAUACUAAAUUUGUAAGUGCUCAAUGUCAUCAUACAACAUAUUCUGCUUACUCAUUAUGAGCCUAAUAACUCCUAAUUCUCAUCUCCACAACUCUAAGCAGUAUAAAUUUACUCAUGUGUGCUGAUUUUACCUAUUAGAGUAUUCUCAUAAGACAUACAAUUCCAGGGAAUUGUCCAAUAUAGCCUGUCUGGUCCAAUACCUGAUUUUCUAGGACAAAUGCCAUCACUCAUUUUCCUGUAAGUAUUCGUGUCCACUCAAAUUUACUUUACACUAAAUUGUGUAAGUAUAUUAAACUGUUUCCGGUUUCCACGGUGAUUUGUCAAGCAAUAAACUCAGUGGACCGAUUCCGACAGCUCUACAAGAAAAGCAUCAAAAUGGAUCUCUUACGCUAAGGUUUGCAUCAUGUAGCUAACUUAUGACUUUUGGCAUCAUUUCAAGGGAAUAGUUUAUGAGCCCUUGCGACCGGAGUAGGUCUAGAGCAAAGAUUUCCCCUUUUAGAAUUAUUUGUUUUUUCUAAUGUAUUUACUCCUCAGGGAAUUAAUAAGGAAACAGCAUCUAUACUUCAUAGUUCAUGCAAACAACUAUACUUCUGCAAUUGUUUUCUCUAUAUUUAAUUAAUUCGGAUAUUGCCUCUGUAAUGCUAGGAUUGCUAACAACGCGAAUAUCUGUGACAAUGGUGCUUCUACAUGUGAUCCAGACGACAAGAAAAAUAGCAGGACACGCAUCAUUAAAAUAGUUGUACCAAUAGCUGUAGCAGCUGUACUGUUUGUGGCAGCAAUUCUUAUCCUUCACAGAAGGAAAAAUAAACAAGGUAACGUUUUCAUCAAGGAACCACUAAAUUUGUAGUAACUAAAGAUCUAUCAUAUAAGAUCAGGUUGGAUUCCAGAUACAUGGAUGGCGAAGAACUUAAGGCUUAAUAGCCCUCGGGAGAGGUCAAACUUAUUUGGGAACAGACAGUUCAGUUACAAAGAGCUGAAGCUCAUCACAGCUAACUUCAGAGAAGAAAUAGGGCGAGGAGGAUUUGGUGCUGUGUUUCUAGGUCAUUUAGAGAAUGAAAAUGCAGUUGCUGUGAAGAUCCGUUCAAAAACAUCAUCUCAAGGGGAUAAAGAGUUUCUAGCUGAGGUAGGCUGUUAACUUGAAAUUUACCGUUUGUUUGCUCAAUACAUAGUUCUUAUUGCAAAUUGUAGUGCAGGCUCAACACUUGAGUCGAGUUCAUCACAAGAAUCUGGUUUCCUUGAUUGGUUAUUGCAAGGACAAGAAACAUCUGGCCCUUGUCUAUGAAUAUAUGCAUGGAGGAGACCUACAGGAAUGCUUAAGAGGUAAAUUCAUCUCUCCCCUAACAAAAUUCAGCUUUCAAAUAGGCACCUCAUUAGAUCAACAUAGUCUUUCACUCAUGUGUCCAUUGUUUCAACUUUAUAAUUACACUCACAGCAUGAUGACAGAGAAAAGAAGACACCAUUCUGAAUAGUGAGUAAAGACACACUUCCUAUAGAGGAUGUUAUAUUUUUGAACCUAAAAAUCUUGUGUAUUUACCAACUGUUAACUGCUCUAUACCAUGUCAACUGUGAAUGGGCUGCACUCAUGUGUGCACUCCAGUAUUAACAGAUUUGUGAACAAAGCAACCAAGUUCUCCUAAAAGCACACUUUUACAUUUUGGCCAAACUACACCAAUAAAUAACAUACUUUUAUUUGUCAGCCUCUUACUGUUCUGCAUAAACCCAUUUAUAGCCAUAUUUUGUAACACUCUGUCACAGGAGAAGCUUCUGUUGCUACACCCCUCAGUUGGCACCGACGCCUCAGGAUUGCUCUCGACUCUGCCCAUGGUUUGUAUAACUAUAUGUCCAAAAUUUUAUUACAGUAGUAACAAAAUCAUCAUGAUUUACAGGACUAUUACACACAUUGAUGUCCUGACUUGAUACACAUACCAGUUAAACCUAGCAAAACAUCAUGCCUCUGGCCAAAUUUGGCUAGUUUUUAGCCUAAUCCGUCGUAACCUGUUAUUAUCUACUUAUUGGUCAUGCAUACAGGAUUGGAGUAUCUACACAAGUCCUGCCAACCGCCACUGAUCCAUAGGGAUGUGAAGACAAAGAACAUCCUGCUAACUGCUGACCUAGAGGCAAAGGUAUCCGACCUUGGCCUCACGAAGGUGUUUCCAAACGAGUUCAUGACCCAUAUCACCACCCAACCAGCAGGUACACUGGGGUACCUUGACCCUGAAUACUACAACACAUCCCGUCUUAGUGAGAAGAGUGACGUUUACAGCUUUGGAGUUGUACUACUGGAGCUCAUCACCGGCCAGCCGCCAGCAGUCGCAGUCAGUGACACCGAGAGCAUCCACAUCGCCCAGUGGGUGCACCAGAAGCUCUCGGAGGGUAACAUCAAGAGCAUUGCCGACUCGAAGAUGGGGAUGUGUUGGAUCAAAACACAGGGAUCGCACGACACAAGUACCGCGUCGAGUACUUUCCGACGAGGCCUCACUUGCGAAGGUAGUUGCUGGUAAUCACCAAUUACUUCCGGCAAGAUGCACACGUAUACUAGUAUACGACCCAAGAAAUCAGUCAGCAACUAAGCUACUACUCACGUCGCGCACGCAUGAGGCAAAAACGAUUGGAGUUUGAUGGCCACAGGCACGUAUCGUGCCUGCUCUGUUUUUCUAUUUUUCUUAUUUUCUGGGGUUAGAGUUACAGGGUACGUAUACCCAUAUAUUUAUACAAGGCAAGGUCCAAACCGAAUAGAACUAGCUAACUGAAUACGAUUCACUUCACAAAUCCUAAACCGAAACUAAUACGUUCUGAUCUUAAGCUCACAUUCUCUCCCUAAGAUCAAAACGAACUUCUACUUGAUAACGUCGACGCCGAUCUUCUUCCUCAUCUCUUGAAAUUUCACUCUUCCAAGAGAUUUCGUCAAUAUGUCGGCCAGCUGCUCAUCUGUACUGAUGUAAUCAACAUCAAGCUUGCCUUCUUCCACACAUCCUCGUAUGUAAUGAAACCGGGUGUCGAUAUGUUUACUUCUAUCAUGAAACACCGGAUUCUUACACAGAGAUAUAGUGGACUUGUUGUCGAUCUUUAACUCAAACUUUUCUGGUUCUCAGUUUAGUAGAUCAGUAAGCAAUCGCUCUAGCCACACUCCCUGGCUUGCUGCGGUAGCUGCUGCAAUGUAUUCAGCUUCACACGAGGAUAGCGCCACAAGCUUCUGCUUCUGUGACAUCCAGCUCACAAUAUUUCCACCAAGGAAAAACGCCAUGCCCGAGGUAAUUUUACGGUCGUCAACGUCGCCGGCCAUAUCACUGUCACUGUACCCGACUAGUUGUGUCUUCUCCUCUUUCUUCUUUGAGUAAACACACCCAUAAUUCAGGGUUCCUUUGAUGUACCGCAAAAUCAUCUUCACCGCUGCAAAGUGUUCCGUUGUGGGGUUCUCCAUGAAUCGACUAACGAUCCCAACCGAGUAUGCCAAAUCUGGCCUUGUAUUCACCAAGUAUCUCAGACUUCCCACAAUACUUCUAUAUUCGGUAGUAUCAACAGGAUCUGCUUCGCUGUGUUUGCUCAAUUUAUGCCUUGCUUCCAUCGGUGCUGAGGUAGCAUUGCAGUCUUCCAUGCCGCACUUCUCAAGGAUUUUCCUCGCAUAAGCUUCUUGACACAAAGUUAUUGAGUCUCCUCGCUGACAUACUUCUAUCCCGAGGUAGUAGCUCAACAAACCAAGGUCACUCAUCUUGAAAAGAUCUAGCAUCUGCUUCUUGAAUCUUGCAAUCUCCCUCUCAUCUGCACCCGUGAUCAACAGAUCAUCAACAUAUACUCCAACUAGGAGCCGUUCCUUCCCAUCACCUCGUUUGUACAUAGCAUGCUCCAAUGGACUCUUCUCAAAUCCGAGGGACACCAAUGUAGCGUCCAGCUUGGUGUUCCAUGCCCCUCGGUGCUUGCCGUAGCCCGUACAAUGCCUUGUGCAGUCGCAACACCUUAUGUUCCGCUCCCCCUUCGAUGAAACCUGGAGGUUGUUGUACAUAUACUUCUUCUUGUAGGUCACCGUUCAAGAACGCUGAUUUCACAUCCAUAUAAUGCAGCUUCCAGGAUUCUUGAGCGGCCAAAGCAAUCAACAACCGUACCGAUUCCAUCCUUGUGACCGGAGCGAACACUUCCUCAAAAUCAACGCCUUGUUGCUGCACAUAGCCCUUUGCUACCAAGCGUGCUUUGUGCUUUACCACAUUGCCAUUGGAGUCUUUCUUCACUUUGAAUACCCACUUGAGGCCUAUGGGUUUAUGUCCGGCAGGGAGAUCAACCAAGCUCCAUGUCUUGUUAUCUUGGAUUGACCCCAUCUCCUCCUCCAUAGCCUUGCGCCAACUUUCUUCCUCGCUAGCUUCUUCAAACGAGGUUGGCUCUUCGGUACUUAACAAGCACCUUUCCUUCGUUGUGCGCUUCAUCUUGACCGUAUUCGUCUUGAGGAUCAUCUUCUUUGGAGAAGGGUACAACUCCGAUAGAGGUCGAAGUCGUUCGGGCGUCGGGCGUCGAGUCCGCGACCAAGUCUGCACCGGCGAUCGUACCAUCGUCGAUGCCCUUUGAGAGGUUGCUGCCGCGGUAGAAGUUUCAGCGUCUCCGCCGGCUGCUGCAUCCUCCCCUUCACUCGCUCCUGCCGCGGCAGAGGGAUCUUCUGCCGUGGCAGAAACUUCUGCCGUCUCUCGCGUCGUGGCAGACGCAGAUCUUCCUGCCGCGGUUUCUGCCGCGGCAGAAUUUUCUGUCGGGGAUCCUGCCGCGGUAGAGAUUCCUGCCGCUGUUCUUGCCGCGGAUGCCGGUGCUCUACUGAAGCUGAACACCGGUGUAGCGCCGCGGCACUGCGGCAUUCCUGGUGGAUCUCCGCCACCUGCGUCAUGGCCGUGGCCUUCUCCAUGGUUAUGACCUGCAUGCUCAGGGACAGGGUAAGAUACAACAAACAUAUCAUCCGAAUUUUGUUGAUUCUCUUCUUUGUUUGAGGACCAAUCCCAUGCCCUCUCUUCUUCAAAGACGACGUCGCAUGCCACGUGAACUUUUCUUGUUUGUGGAUCAUACACACGAUAAGCCUUCGAGUGUCCCUUCAAGCCUGCUUCAUAACCCAUCAAGAUCAUCGGCUUACUCCGGUCUUCCAGCUUUCCCACAUGUCCAGAAACAUUCUUCACAUGUGCCAUGCACCCAAAAGUACGAAGGUGAUCGACCGAAGGUUUUCUUCCACACCAAGCUUCAUAGGGUGUCAUGCCAAUGACACUUUUCGUCGGUGCACGGUUUAGCAAGUAUACCGCUGUAGUCACCGCUUCUCCCCAAAACCUCCCCGGCAAGCCUUUGCUCUUCAUCAUGCUUUGAGCCAUUGCUACCACGGUUUGGUUCCUUCUUUCAACAACACCGUUUUGCUGCGGUGUGUAUGGGGCUGUCAGAAAACGCUUGAUGCCAUGUUCCUCACAAUAUGCAGCAAACUCAUGUGAGAUAAAUUCCCCUCCUCGGUCAGUCCGGAAAGCCUUCAACUUUGCCUCUGCUUCUACUUCAGCAGCAAUCUUGAUCUUCUUGAAUGCUUGAAAUGCUUGAUCUUUCAUUUUAAGCAGCACAACCCACAUGUACCGACUGUAGUCAUCUACCACGAGUAGAAAAUAGCGAUUGCCGGCUGGGGUUGCAGGUGAAACUGGGCCACACAGAUCACCGUGAAACAAAUCUAGUACCUUCUCUGCCCGGUACUUUGCUUCUCUGGGAAACGGCGCUCGCCGUUGCUUCCCUACUAGGCAGCCAUCGCACACUUGUUCAACAUGAUCCACCAUCGGCAUCCCAACCACCAUGUCCUUCUGGCCGAGUUGUCGAAGCGAGUGAAAAUUCAAGUGCCCGUAGCGAGCGUGCCACCUCCAUGCUGGAUCAUCAACACCAGCUAACAAACAGAUCGGCUCUGUUUUGUCUAGGUCAAGAAUAUACAAGCGAUUCUUUGCCCUCUUGACCUUCAUCAGUAGCUUGCGUUGUCGGUCGUAGCCCCACAGGUACCCAUCCUCUAACACGAUUUUACAUCCCCUUUCCUCGAGUUGACCAAGACUGAUUAUAUUGCUUUUCAGCUUGGGGAUAUAAUAUACGUUGGUUAGUACCUUGUGAUCGCCAAAUCUUGUCUCGAAAAGAACUGUGCCUCACCCUUGUAUCACCACCGUGGAACCAUCUCCAAAACGCACCGAGCCACCCACGGCUAGGUUAAGCUCUGCGAAUUGGGUUUUGUCGCCAGUCAUGUGAUUGCUAGCGCCCGUGUCAAGGUACCACACAUUGCCCGCCUUCACUCUUGCUUUAUCAUGUAGGUAGACUUUCUUUUCAACAAGGGUUACGGACUCAGACUUCUCCUCGAUGACUUCCUCUUGACCUUCUUCCAUCAGCUCGCACAUCUCUACCAUCAGCAGCGCCGGAUCAUCAUCUUCUUCCCUGGCCAUAUAUGCUUUCUCUUUCUGUGGCUUUCGGCACUCCGACUUGAAGUGCCCGUAUAUUCCACAGCUGUGGCACCUAACCUUCUUGCGAUCAAACUUUUUCUUGGGGGCCGCACCUUUCUCCUCGGUACCUUGAGGAGCUUUCUUUGCUUGUGCUCGACCUCCUCCUUUAGCUUGAUCUCUUCUUCCACUAGACGAUGACGAAUCGCCAGUUUUCCUUGCGGCCAUAGCAGACCACUGCGCACGGGUCAUCAUCAGAUGCUCGUCAUCUUUGCCGUCUCCGAACACCAUCCGGAGUCGUUCAUCGUGCGCCUUGUAGCGCCCCACCAAGUCUUCCACCGUGAGGGUCUUCAGAUUGACACACUGCUCGAUUGAGGUUACGAUCUGGAUAUACUUUGGUGAUGCCGUGCAUAGGAACCGCCUGACCACGGAGAUCUCGGAGAGUGUCUUGCCUAGGUCGCGGAUCCCGUUAACGAGCGUCGUUACACGCGCUGCGAACGCGUCGACCGCCUCGUCUUCUCCCAUCUUCAAACUCUCAUAAUUCUUCAGCAAGGUUUGAAGGUUUGCCUCCCGGACACGCUCGUGUCCUUGAUGCAGGGUCUUGAUCGUAUCCCAUGCAUCCUUUGCAGAUUUCUUCCCCUUCAGGUGUUGUAGCACAUCGUUCGGCACAGCCGCAUGGAUGGCCGCCAACGCCAGGCGAUCAAUGCGAUAGUUCGCCGCUCCUUUGGCAUAAGUGUUGCCGCCAGGGUCGACUGCGUCCCAGAUCUCUUGAGAUUCCAUGGCCACCUCCAUCUUCAUUGCCCACAUGCUGUAGUCGCUGCGAUCGAGCCUUGGAAACGUCGCCGGUGCUGAGUUCCUUCCAGCCGCGGCUCCCGAUGUCCCCGCAUCCGUCGGCAUAGCUCCCGUGUACUAGGGACCGUUUUGCCGGAUUAACCUUAGCUCUGAUACCAAAUGUUGGAUCAAAACACAGGGAUCGCAUGACACAAGUACCGCGUCGAGUACUUUCCGACGAGGCCUCACUUGCGAAGGUAGUUGCUGGUAAUCACCAAUUACUUCCGGCGAGAUGCGCACAUAUACUAGUAUACGACCCAAGAAAUCAAUCAGCAACUAAGCUACUACUCACGUCGCGCACGCAUGAGGCAAAAACGAUUAGAGUUUGAUGGCCACAGGCACGUAUCGUGCCUGCUCUGUUUUUCUAUUUUUCUUAUUUUCUGGGGUUAGAGUUACAGGGUACGUAUACCCAUAUAUUUAUACAAGGCAAGGUCCAAACCGAAUAGAACUAGCUAACUGAAUACGAUUCACUUCACAAAUCCUAAACCGAAACUAAUACGUUCUAUCUUAAGCUCACAGGAUGGAGUAUGAUGUCAACUCAGUAUGGAAGGUUACAGAGUUGGCACUGCGGUGCAAAGAGCAACCAUCACGGGAACGACCAACAAUGACUGUUGUUGUUGUUGAGCUCAAUGAGUGCUUGGAGCUGGAGGUGUCUCGUAGAAUGGGCAAUUACAGAUCAGUCACUAGCGGCACAAACAGUCUCAGUGCAACAAGUGCUGACUUGCAUAGUGAUGCUCAAACAAGCGAUCUGAGACAGAAAAGCAUGCUUGAGGUGGGACAGGUUGGCGAUGCAUCGUCUACUCACGUAGGUCCCACACCACGAUGAUGCCAACAGUUUAAUUUUGUAUGGUUCAGAGGUCUAGUAUUAGUAGUCCAGCAUAUAGAUAGGGAACGCUUCACAAAAUAAAAUUACAUGGUAUCUUAUUAGAAUAUCUAAACAAAAAUUGUUCUCCCAGUUUGAUAGACUACAUAUAUGAAGGUUGUGAGUGUGAGCUUAGUGAGAAAAAUGGACCAUCUAUUUUCCAAAUGGAGCUAAGGCAUAUUAAUAACUUGUUGGCGACUCAAUCAAUAAUCGCUCAAUUUGGGACAGAGAUCUUCAGUGCAAACGUCAAAACAAAGAAAAUCAAGAAUCAGCAACCUCUGCUCCACCUUGACGUGGGUUUCAGAUGUAUCAGAAAGUUUAUGUGAGUAGGUUAUUUGUAUUAUAGUUGUCGACGAGAAGAAAUACCAAGAGCGAUCCUUCUAGAUGAAUGUGGUAAUAUGGAAAUAUUGUAAACAAUGCUAAACACAAAGAGUUCGUUACCUGACAGGAACAGCAGUUUUGUGAUAUCAGCAUCAUGUUAUAGAUCUUUUCCCAUAGCUCACCUAAGGGUCUCACAUUCCUUUUCUUUUUCUUCUCAUUAUGGUUUCCCAGUUCAUCUGUAGCUACUACAGUACAUGGUAAGGCAAACUAUAUGAGCAGAUCAGAAAAUAAUCGCUCUCUACCACGACAGAAAAAUAUAUUUCAAGUACAAACUUUGAUGGCAAUAAUGCAAAACUGAACCUGGUUGAGCAUCAUUUAGUCAGCGUAAUUGAUAAAUCCCCACCCACUCCAAGGACGGGUAGGGCAAGAACACACGUUUUCCGGGAAUCUGAAACGUCCCUCUCAAAAAGAGAUCAGAUCAACACAAAAGGCAGCAACUCAAGCAGUAAGAAAUUACGCUGUGGAGCGGCUUCCCCUUUUUGUCUGCAAGGGGGGACCUCAUAAUUUCUUUCUUGCGGCACCAAGAUAGUUGGCGCAUGCCUCUGGAGUAGAGUAUGACUCACCGGCGAUGUCGAUGGUGGCGGAUGAGAUGGGGAGGCCGACACCGCGGGCGGCAAGAGAAGCACCGGCGACGAGUUCCGUUUUUAGGGAGGCAUCGGCGACGAGCUUUUUUUUCUCUCUCAAGAGAGAGAUUUUUUUUUUUUUAGAACAGAGAAAGAGACGAUGAGCUGAACCCGGGUCCUGGGCGACCGGACCGUAUAUUUAGUGUGGGCAGAAAUCUUCCAUCUAUAUGUUUAUAGAUGGCCGAGAGAGCAUUUUGAUACAAUUUUGACCGGAUCGUAUAUUUAGUGUAGGCAGAAAUCUUCCAUCUACAUACACAUUUCGGCCCAUUGUCAUUUCACCACAACUAAAACAAAAAAAAAUCAAUUUCACCUAAAAAGUACGCGUCCGCCCGGUUAUGCUUUGAACUUCCGUUUAGUCUUAUUUGAACCUUAAAAUUCUUUAAACCGGAACACCUAUUUAGUCUAGCUAGGAUCUUGAAAUUUAAAAUCCUAUAAUCAUCUGUUUUUGUGCUAACAUGGCAGAUUUAAGACGGUU
rnacentral:lncRNA from 1 species